rnacentral:rRNA from 1 species
UACGUAGGGGGCAAGCGUUGUCCGGAUUUAUUGGGCGUAAAGGGCGCGUAGGCGGCCUGUUAAGUCGAACGUGAAAUCCCCGGGCUCAACCCGGGAACUGCGUCCGAUACUGGCAGGCUUGAAUCCGGGAGAGGGAUGCGGAAUUCCAGGUGUAGCGGUGAAAUGCGUAGAUAUCUGGAGGAACACCGGUGGCGAAGGCGGCAUCCUGGGACCGGCAUUGACGCUGAGGCGCGAAAGCCAGGGGGAGCAA